rnacentral:rRNA from 1 species
AUGGCGACCGGCGCACGGGUGAGUAACACGUAUCCAACCUGCCGAUGACUCGGGGAUAGCCUUUCGAAAGAAAGAUUAAUACCCGAUGGCAUAGUUCUUCCGCAUGGUGGAACUAUUAAAGAAAUUUCGGUCAUCGAUGGGGAUGCGUUCCAUUAGGUUGUUGGCGGGGUAACGGCCCACCAAGCCUUCGAUGGAUAGGGGUUCUGAGAGGAAGGUCCCCCACAUUGGAACUGAGACACGGUCCAAACUCCUAGGGAGGCAGCAUG